rnacentral:lncRNA from 1 species
UUAGGGACUUUCUGGAGUUUUCUGAAGGCAAGAAGGCAUUGUAACCUUGGAUAACCUUGUGUCUGGAAGCUGUUUUCUUAAAAGUACAAUUUUAAAAUUACAGUGUUCCUUGUCUCCUGUCUAUCUACCUUUGUAUCAUUUAUUUUACCUCAGAUCAAAGUCUGGCAGAUACUCCAUAAAUAUUGGAUGGAUGGAGGAUGGAUGGAUGGAUG